UACGUAGGGCGCAAGCGUUUAUCCGGAAUUAUUGGGCGUAAAGAGCUCGUAGGCGGUUUGUCGCGUCUGCCGUGAAAAGUCCGGGGCUCAACUCCGGAUCUGCGGUGGGUACGGGGCAGACUAGAGUGAUGUAGGGGAGACUGGAAUUCCUGGUGUAGCGGUGAAAUGCGCAGAUAUCAGGAGGAACACCGAUGGCGAAGGCAGGUCUCUGGGCAUUAACUGACGCUGAGGAGCGAAAGCAUGGGGAGCGAACAGG
rnacentral:rRNA from 1 species